GAAAUUGGUAUCUCUGGGUAUCAGGACAUUCUCCUCACUCCAGUGUCACCAGCCAUCAGGGCUUAGUUUUUCCCUUACAUCACCAGCUGUUUCUCACCCUCUUCCCUCUGUGUCUCACUCCAUCUAGAAAAGCAAAAAUUACUUGAGAUCUCUCCCCGAAGUCAAAAGUAAUGGGACAGGCAGACCCUCCUGAAAUUCUGAGCAGAAAUUGCUGCUACAUUUGAAUCAGAUUCUAAGAGAUUCAAAGCCAUUAGUGAAAGCACAUGAAACACUGUGAAGUGGAGUUGGAGGUGUGGGUCAUUGCCUGCCUGUUCAUGCCCUGUUCUAGGUAAUCUGUCCUCUUCCCAGCCUACCCACCCAUUACUUCUCUGACCUACAUUCACCAUGGAGAGCAGCUCAUCAGCAAGGGCCCGGAGUGUGGGGCCAUACACUCUAGCAAAGCAAAGGCUCCCGGGAGCUGAGUGAAAGAACUCAGAGCCUUGCAGAGAAGCUACUCGCCCACUAACCAGAGGUUGGAGCAGAGGAGAUGGCUGCAGAGACAACACAAACAGACAUAGCACCUGGGCUUUGUAGGUGGGCAAGGCCAGGCUGUGCUUCCUCCAAUUGGAGGCACUGAGCUCCCCCAACAAGCCUACAAUGGACCCUGCAUCUCACCUGAGCUGCUUUGAGCUGGGCUCUGUUUUAGCCACUGACAGAGCCGUGCUCCUGCAUUGCUAGGGGUACAGCACAUUGGUGGAACUUUUCCAGGGCACGUGGCAAUUUGUAUUAGCAGCUUUCAGUUGGGACUUGUUUUUCAACUCAGCAAUUCCCAGUAAGGGAAUUUAUCAAAGAUAUGACUAAAGAUUUGUGUCCAGGGACACUUACUGAAAUGUUAUUUUUUACUAGUGAAAAAUUGGAAACAACUUAAAAGCCCCGCAGGAAGGAAAUAGUUUCUCUCCAUAAGAUGGUAUACAAAGGUCAUGGUAACAUACCCACGGUGUGGUCUUGCAAAGCCUGCUGCUGAAAAAGCGAAAUAAUAUGAACCCUAAACUGGCAGAAGAUGAUGCUUUUAUGCAUAAAAAAUACUGAAAGUGUGUCAUCUAAAAUCUAUUAAUCUUUUAUUUUGAAAUAAUAUCACUUGUAUAGGUAAGUUGCAAAAACAGUACAAGCAGUGCUCAUGUGUCUUCACCUCAGCUCAACAAUUGUUGACACUUCGCAAUAUUUGAUUUAUUG
rnacentral:lncRNA from 1 species